GACCCAAAUUAGGCCUCCAUUGACCCCUGUGGUUUUACCAACAGUUGGAGCCCUGGCACCAGCACGAACUGUUGGCAUCCAACUGACCUCUCUCAAGACUGCAGAAGCCCUUGGAAGACCACUCUCAGGUUUGAAUCUCCCUGGUGUGACUGAGAUUCAGACUUUAUGCGACCUGGUUAAACAACUGAGGAAACAGGAAUUGAAGCACUACUUCUAGUGUUAACCCAUGAAAUUAAGAAAUACUGGGGCUCCUCAAGGACACUAUCUCUAUUAUUGGAUCCUGCAUUUAGCCUAUUACCUGGGAAUAGAGUUACAGAUCCCCUUCUGUGAGAAGGGAAACCUAUGCUCCAGAGUUAAGUCUCCAAACCACUUAUCUACACAAAGGACUUGACUACCACUAAACACAGCAGGAUAUACAUUCCACAAGGAAAAAGACUUUUGUGUUCACCACUUUCCUCCAGCAUAUGUCAUGUAGUCAAUUAACUGGAAAAAGGAAUAAAUUAUUGCACAUGGUAAGUGAUAUACAUUGAUAAUUCACUAUAUCUCCAUGCU